GCAGGGCCUUACCAUUCCCACUUGCCACCUCUGUGGCCAAUGGAUGCUUUCAUGCAGUGUCUCUUCCUAAGCCCUUCAGAGAUGAGCUACCUGAUUUCUACUGACUUCAUCUGAUGCCCUCGGUUCUUGUACUGGAAAAUAAAAGGAAGAGACGUUUUCACUGGAACUCUACAUGGGUCCUUUCAGAACAAGGAUCCGACGGCCACUUUCUCUGAAAAGGCAAAAAGGCAGUGAGUGUCAUUAACUUCAUGGAUACACUGGCACCUCCUUUUUAUUUCAACUGAAGCUACAACUUAAGAUUUUUUUGGACCUCAUAGUAAUUACAUCAUCAACAAAACAAAUUCUGACUGUUACUCAAACAGUUGCAAAGGGCUGGCAUCUACCCCAGACAGUGGGUAUCCAAAAUAAAUUUA